rnacentral:rRNA from 1 species
UACGAAGGGGGCUAGCGUUGUUCGGAAUCACUGGGCGUAAAGGGAGCGUAGGCGGGUUUUUAAGUCAGGUGUUUAAUCCCGGGGCCCAACCCCGGACAGGCACUUGAAACUGGGAAUCUUGAAUAGUGGAGAGGUCAGUGGAAUUGGGGGUGUAGCGGUGGAAUGCGUAGAUAUCAGGAGGAACACUGCGGUGUAGACGGCUUACUGGACCAUCACUGACGCUGAGGCACAAGA